rnacentral:snoRNA from 1 species
UGGCGGUGAUGACCUAUCUUAGGACACCUUUGGAACAACCAUGAAAUAAUUCAGUUUUUCUGAGCCAU